rnacentral:rRNA from 1 species
ACAGCAGUAGCCACGGGAAUACAGAGGGUGCAAGCGUUAAUCGGAAUUACUGGGCGUAAAGCGCGCGUAGGUGGUUUGUUAAGUUGGAUGUGAAAGCCCCGGGCUCAACCUGGGAACUGCAUCCAAAACUGGCAAGCUAGAGUACGGUAGAGGGUGGUGGAAUUUCCUGUGUAGCGGUGAAAUGCGUAGAUAUAGGAAGGAACGCCAGUGGCGAAGGCGACCACCUGGACUGAUACUGACACUGAGGUGCGAAAGCGUGGGGAGCAAACAGGAUUAGAUACCCCCGUAGUCCCUGUCUCUUAUAC